rnacentral:rRNA from 1 species
UACGGAGGGGGCUAGCGUUGUUCGGAAUUACUGGGCGUAAAGCGCACGUAGGCGGCUUUGUAAGUUAGAGGUGAAAGCCCGGGGCUCAACCCCGGAAUUGCCUUUAAGACUGCAUCGCUUGAACGUCGGAGAGGUGAGUGGAAUUCCGAGUGUGAGAGGUGAAAUUCGUAGAUAUUCGGAAGAACACCAGUGGCGAAGGCGGCUCACUGGACGACUGUUGACGCUGAGGUGCGAAAGCGUGGGGAGCAAACAGG